rnacentral:rRNA from 1 species
GGACGGGGACGGGUGUGCGGACGAUUAGCUAGUUGGCGGGGCAACGGCCCACCAAGGCGACGAUCGUUAGCUGAUGUGAGAGCAUGGUCAGCCACACGGGCACUGAGACACGGGCCCGACUCCUACGGGAGGCAGCAGUAAGGAAUAUUGGUCAAUGGGCGCAGGCCUGAACCAGCCAUGCCGCGUGGAGGACGAAGGCCCUCCGGGUCGUAAACUCCUUUUACCCGGGACGAAAAAAGCCCUUUUGAGGGCACUUGACGGUACCGGGGGAAUAAGCACCGGCUAACUCCGUGCCAGCAGCCGCGGUAAUACGGAGGGUGCGAGCGUUAUCCGGAUUCACUGGGUUUAAAGGGUGCGCAGGCGGGCUUUUAAGUCAGCGGUGAAACCCGCGGGCUCAACCCGCGGACUGCCGAUGAUACUAGGGGCCUUGGAUGUCGCUGAGGGCAGCGGAAUGGGGCAUGUAGCGGUGAAAUGCAUAGAUAUGCCCCGGAACACCGAUUGCGGAGGCAGCUGCCUAAAGGACGAUCGACGCUGAGGCACGAAAGCGUGGGUAGCGAACAGGAUUAGAUACCCUGGUAGUCACGCCCUAAACGAUGAUUACUCGACGUCCGCGGCAUACUGUGGGCGUCC